UCUAGGGCAAAAAUAUUCCAGGGAUGAAGAAGACGAAGAAGAGGCGAGAGCACCGGCCGAUCGGCGUCGCUACCAAGUCGAAGAUCACGAAAAAAUCCAAUGCUCCAUCAAAAGCAGCAGCGGCGCCGGUAGAUAGAAACGAUAUCCAGUUCAAAUCACCUCGGGAUCAAUCGUCCUGGUUCUUCUCCACAUUUCGAGCAGUUCACAGUAGCGUCUUGUCUUCUCUGGAGAUGGGGGCUCUCCCAGACGAUGCGAUGGUUGAGAUCCCCAGCAAUCAGGAUCACUGCAUUGAGAACCUGGCCUCGGUUAUCAAAGGCAUUGUUGGAUCUUCGUGGGAGAGCUCUCUGUGCAGUGGAGCUCUUGGAGAUUUGGAGCCAGGAAGCCCGAUUGUUCUCAUUGUGAGCAGUUCCGCAGUACGCUGUGUCAGUCUUCUCAAGAACUUGGCCAGUUUGACAAAAGAAUGCAAGCCUGGGAAGCUUUUCGCGAAGCACUUGAAGGUGGAAGAGCAAGUCUCAGCGCUGAAACAACGAGUCAAUAUUGCCGCAGGGACACCGAGCCGAAUUCCUUUCCUUUGUUCUCAGGCUCAAGAAGCUGAUCGACAUUGGCGCUCUGGGGCUUUCACGGCUCUCCUUGCUCGUCUUUGACAUGCACAAGGAUGCCAAAGGAUUGACGCUCUUCACAGUUCCUCAAGUCAGAAAAGAACUUUGGGAGCUCUACAGGCUCCAUUUUCACAACGGUGUUGUGGAAGGCAGGCUUCGUUUGUGCUUGUAUUGAUAGAGGUUCAAUCGAAUAUUCUUAAGUAUGUACUGUACGGAGAAUGUUUAGUUUACGUAUAUUUAAUCUAACGGUUGAUAUUUCCUGUUUAA